GAGCUAAGGGGAGAGAAGAGAGGAGAGCGAAAGUUCUGGGGGCAGUCGGUCGCGAGGGAAGGGGUCGCGAGGGAGAGAGAUGUGGGCGUUCGCCGAAGCGGAGGGGCGAGCGACCCGAGAGAGGGGAGAGGUCGAGCUGGAGCGGAGGUUCGGCUCGCGGAGUCCGACGUCGAGCAGCCGGUACGAGAGGCUGACAACACGGAAGGGAGGGCCGGUCGUCAGCCCAGAGGUAGAGGCCGGCGCUGCGGUGUUCCACGCCAGUAAGAGCACGAGGUUUCAUCCAAGCACGUUGCGUUACACCAGCUGAUCCAGUACGGUACGCGGUCGGAGGUAACCUGGCUUGCCGGCAGCCUUACGUUCCACCGGAUUCAAUUAUUCGCGGUGGAGUUGUCUCUAGGAUCCAAGCUGACGCUACCGCUUGUCCGGACCCUUAGCACGGCGCUUCCCCUAGGUCCCGGCGAAGAAGACCCGUCCCCGUUGAUUAGCCGACGUCGUGUGCGGCCUUUUCCCGUCCUAAAAGGACCAUUUUUUCAAGUAGACGUUGGGUAUUUUCUACCGUAAGUCCCAGCAACUUUCGGGAAUAUACUACGUCAACUGUGCCAAAUAGUGUUGAUAAGGUGUUAGAUCAGAACUCCUUCCAAAAGGUAAAACGUGAAUGCCGAAGUGAAGGAAAAAGCCCACUCUUAUACCGGAGUGAAGGAACCUCCUGUAGGUACAUGGAAGUUCACACUGAGGGUAGAAGUAAUCAACUAUGGACUCGAAAAAUGUAAUAUUUACACAUGGAGAAAAAAAGACUGUAUAAAAACACACAAAUCGAAAUCUCCACUACCUGUACUAGUAACAUCAGAGCCUACAACAAGAACAGAUCAGUAUAGUAGUCAUCGUCGAGAGAUUGUGGACCUGCCAAGAACAAUAACUGAACACCACACAAAACCGGAUAGAAAUACGAUAGACCAAAGAAGAAGAGUACUAUCUCAAUGCACUAUACAAGACCCUCGCUGAUGUUAUCUUCUUCCCGAUGUCCACGUUUUUAUCUUUUUGUACAGACCCGGUAACCUAGUAUCCACCUACCGUGUCUAAGACCACCUUCCUAGGUGAUCACGUCUUGGCCCGUUAUCGUGGCCAAGCAUUCCGGGAAAUCACAACCAAGGUAUUGGCCGUGAUUUCACACCCGUGAUUUCGGGGGGGGGGGAAAUCAUGGCCAAGUCGUGCUUGGCCACGAUUUCCUGUUGGUGCACCGUGCUCGGUCGAGGCCCCCGGACCUCGGGAAAUCAUGGCCAACCAUUCUGGUUGGCCAUGAUAUUCCAAACCAAAAAAAUCAAAAUACUAAAGAAAAAGUAAAUUAAAACACAAAGGUAAAAUUAAGAAAAAGCAAACGACCAUAAGAUGCUAUGAUGUGUAACAUGUGCAAUAUAUAUAUAUUUUUAUCUUAAAGAUCAUCUUGGUUAGUACGUAUAUAUAUAUAUAUAUAGUAGUUACAGAGUGUUUGGUGGUAUAAUUAAUUAAGUGUGUAUGUGUGUACAUAUCGAUAUAUGUUAAAGAGGAUGUAUACGUACAACGGAAGCCUCGGUCACCGUAAUCGGAUUAACCACGGAAGCCUCGUGCUACUGUUAACCUUCACCAAGAGUACCCCGCCAUCGCCCAUUAUCAUAAGAGGGAAGCCUAAAUACUGGACCAACUCGUUUUUAGGGCGAUAAAGGAGAACUUCACGAAGAUGCGCGAGGCAAAGAUCCUCGAAGAGGGCGUGGAGAGACUUGACAAUUCUUCCUCUAGUUAUACGUACACAUAAUCAACACACUGAUCUAUAACUAUUACCACAUUUUUAACACUUAUCACAAGACUGUUCGCAUGGGUAAGGACAGAAACUCUAGACGAGGAAAGCCUGCGGUAGUACGCUUACAAGAGCGUUUGCGUCUUACGUGUGUCUAGUCAGGGGACGCGGACGAAGUCCAGGAAAUGCUCUUACCUUAAACUAAUCUAUUAUUAAUUAGUUCGUACUAUUAAUUUCUCUACCGUCGAUCGAUCGAUCGAUCAUGAUGAAUUAAUGAAUGGAACCCAGCUUUGGUAAAUUCAAAAAAAAAAGUAAGCGGAAGGCACUGCGACUACUUGGAACGGGUUCGGGACGGGCGGCUGUUUUUUUUACUUAUUUCCCCAAUAAUUUGUCAAGUAUAGUACUUUACUGCUUGAUUUAUCCGGCUCUAUAUAUCAAUUAUUACUAACUUUAAUGGACAACUGAUAGAGUUUGUUCUACAAUAUCAGUCAUAAAAGAAACUCAUCACUCAGGUCAUAAAGUUGACAAGGCCGCAGUUGAAAUUACUAUGUGUUCUAGGUCACUUUAGACGU
rnacentral:rRNA from 1 species